UACGAAGGGGGCUAGCGUUGUUCGGAAUUACUGGGCGUAAAGCGUGCGCAGGCGGCUUCUCAAGUCAGGGGUGAAAGCCCAGAGCUCAACUCUGGAAUUGCCUUUGAGACUGCAUCGCUAGAAUCGUGGAGAGGUAAGUGGAAUUCCGAGUGUAGAGGUGAAAUUCGUAGAUAUUCGGAAGAACACCAGUGGCGAAGGCGACUUACUGGACACGUAUUGACGCUGAGGUGCGAAAGCGUGGGGAGCAAACAGG
rnacentral:rRNA from 1 species